rnacentral:rRNA from 1 species
AUUGAACGCUGGCGGCACGCCUUACACAUGCAAGUCGAACGGUAACAGGUCUUCGGAUGCUGACGAGUGGCGAACGGGUGAGUAAUACAUCGGAACGUGCCUAGUAGUGGGGGAUAACUACUCGAAAGAGUGGCUAAUACCGCAUGAGAUCUACGGAUGAAAGCAGGGGAUCGCAAGACCUUGUGCUACUAGAGCGGCCGAUGGCAGAUUAGGUAGUUGGUGGGAUAAAAGCUUACCAAGCCGACGAUCUGUAGCUGGUCUGAGAGGGCGAUCAGCCACACUGGGACUGCGACACGGCCCAGACUCCUACGGGAGGCAGCAGUGGGGAAUUUUGGACAAUGGGCGCAAGCCUGAUCCAGCAAUGCCGCGUGCAGGAUGAAGGCCUUCGGGUUGUAAACUGCUUUUGUACGGAACGAAAAGCCCCGGGUUAAUACCCUGGGGUCAUGACGGUACCGUAAGAAUAAGCACCGGCUAACUACGUGCCAGCCGCCGCGGUAA